rnacentral:rRNA from 1 species
GUCCACGCCGUAAACGGUGGGCGCUAGGUGUGGGGGCCAUUCCACGGUCUCUGUGCCGCAGCUAACGCAUUAAGCGCCCCGCCUGGGGAGUACGGCCGCAAGGCUAAAACUCAAAGGAAUUGACGGGGGCCCGCACAAGCGGCGGAGCAUGUGGAUUAAUUCGAUGCAACGCGAAGAACCUUACCUGGGUUUGACAUGCACCAGACGCACGCAGAGAUGUGUGUUCCCUUGUGGUUGGUGUGCAGGUGGUGCAUGGCUGUCGU